UGAAAACCAGUCUCGAAAAAACCGAAGGAUGGCUUUUGUUAUCCAAAAACCAUGGAUUCUUUUCCACCUUAAGCUGCCACUGGUUUUUCACUUUCUUUACCACUAUAUAGAGACCCACCAACACCUUUCACUUCUUCAACGCAUCAACACUUGUAUUACAGAAAAUAUGAACGCUACGAAGAAAGCUUGGGUUGUGGCUGCCACCAUUGGUGCAGUGGAAGCACUCAAAGAUCAAGGUAUUUGCAGGUGGAAUUACACUAUCAGGUCUAUACAACAACAUGCCAAGAACAAUAUUAGAUCGUUCGCUCAAGCCAAUAUGGUUUCUUCUUCUGGUUCUGGAUCUUCAGGAUCUGUGUCUGCUUCUGGGUCUUCAUCAACACCUCUGACACCAGCAGCAGCAGCUAUGUCUAAUGAGAGUAGGAUUAAUCCUAAUGGUAAGUUGAAGAAGAAAGAGGCUUCUUUAGAGAAAGUACUGGUUUUGAGCUGCUGGGGUCCUAGCACUACUAGAUUUUAGUGGUCAUAUUCAAAUCGAAUAUGUAUGGUUUCUGUUAAUAGAUCUUCUAGCUAGCAAUGAUUAUCAAUUUUGAUCCAUCAUUAUAAUGAAAGAAAUCUUUGUG
rnacentral:misc_RNA from 1 species